rnacentral:rRNA from 1 species
AGUGAACGCUGGCGGUAGGCCUAACACAUGCAAGUCGAACGGCAGCACAGUAAGAGCUUGCUCUUACGGGUGGCGAGUGGCGGACGGGUGAGGAAUACAUCGGAAUCUACUUUUUCGUGGGGGAUAACGUAGGGAAACUUACGCUAAUACCGCAUACGACCUACGGGUGAAAGCAGGGGAUCUUCGGACCUUGCGCGAUUGAAUGAGCCGAUGUCGGAUUAGCUAGUUGGCGGGGUAAAGGCCCACCAAGGCGACGAUCCGUAGCUGGUCUGAGAGGAUGAUCAGCCACACUGGAACUGAGACACGGUCCAGACUCCUACGGGAGGCAGCAGUGGGGAAUAAUGGACAAUGGGCGCAAGCCUGAUCCAGCCAUACCGCGUGGGUGAAGAAGGCCUUCGGGCUGUAAAGCCCUUUUGUUGGGAAAGAAAAGCAGCAGGUUAAUACCCCGCUGUUCUGACGGUACCCAAAGAAUAAGCACCGGCUAACUUCGUG